rnacentral:rRNA from 1 species
UACGUAUGGUGCAAGCGUUAUCCGGAAUUACUGGGUGUAAAGGGUGAGUAGGCGGCAAUUUAAGUCACAUGUGAAAAUCCAGCGCUUAACGUUGGACCUGCAUGAGAAACUGGAUAGCUAGAGUACAGGAGAGGUAAGCGGAAUUCCUAGUGUAGCGGUGAAAUGCGUAGAUAUUAGGAAGAACACCAGUGGCGAAGGCGGCUUACUGGACUGAAACUGACGCUGAGACACGAAAGCGUGGGGAGCAAACAGG